rnacentral:rRNA from 1 species
UAUUAUUAGUUUUGAUUAAUAAUAAAAUCUGCUCAAUGAUUUAUUAAAUAGCCGCAAUUGUGCUAAGGUAGUAUAAUCAUUUGUCUUUUAAUUUAGGACCAAACAAAAGAUUAAACAUUUAAAUAAAUACAAAAAAUUUAAUUUAUAAAAUUAUUUUUAAUGUAAAAAAACAUUAAUAUUUAAAAAAGACGAUAAGACCCUAUUGAACUUUACUUUAGUUAAACUGGGGUAGUUAAUUAAUUAUUAUUUUAAAAUAAUAUAAUAUAAUAAUGACCUAAUACAAUUAAAUAUAUGAAUAAGUUACCUUAGGGAUAACAGUGUAAUAUUAUCUUAAAGAUCUUAUUUAAUAUAAUGAUUGCAACCUCGAUGUUGACUAACUUCCUAAUUAACGCAAUAGUUUUUAAAGUAAGUCUGUUCGACUUUUAAAUAGUUACA